ACCUUUACAAACCUUUUUUUUCCCUUUAUAAUUCAAUUAUCUCAUUUUUCUGUAAAUAGUAUUUGAAUUAAAACUUUUUGUCACCACUCAAAUACAAAAAUUUUCAUUCACUCAUUUAUCUUAUCUUAGUUUAUACUAAAUCACUCAAAAAUACAGCCAAGAUUCACAUAAUUAUAUGCAAUUUGUUAAAACAAUCACAGUGGGAAGAUA
rnacentral:misc_RNA from 1 species